rnacentral:rRNA from 1 species
GCAAGCGUUAUCCGGAUUCACUGGGUUUAAAGGGUGCGUAGGCGGGCAGGUAAGUCCGUGGUGAAAUCUCUGAGCUUAACUCAGAAACUGCCAUGGAUACUAUUUGUCUUGAAUAUUGUGGAGGUAAGCGGAAUAUGUCAUGUAGCGGUGAAAUGCUUAGAUAUGACAUAGAACACCAAUUGCGAAGGCAGCUUACUACACAGUUAUUGACGCUGAGGCACGAAAGCGUGGGGAUCAAACAGG